AGGGAAGAAGCUAAAUUACAGCAAUUAGUUGUUACCUAAUAGAAAGUGAAAGAUCACCUGCCCUA
rnacentral:tRNA from 1 species